rnacentral:lncRNA from 1 species
GCCUCGGCAGUUUAAAUAGUCGGACUACAGUCUGAAUUAGUGAUUUGAAAAAUCUAUAUGUUGUAGAUGAUUUUGACUCAAAUUUGAAUUGUCUAGUUUUAUCAGUUUGUCUUCAGAAGGUGGGUUGCUCACUCCAUGCACACCAGUUUCUUUCACCAGCAAUAAGUUAUGACAAUGAUUAACAAAAUUAAAAUAAUGUUGGAAAAAUGUUGCAUUGAAAAACAAUUCACAUCAAGAGAUAAAAAGGAUAUUAUAUUCGUUCUCGUGACUAGGUUGGUUAAAAUGCUUGUUU